rnacentral:rRNA from 1 species
AUUGAACGCUGGCGGCAGGCCUAACACAUGCAAGUCGAGCGGAUGAAGGGAGCUUGCUCCUGGAUUCAGCGGCGGAAGGGUGAGUAAUGCCUAGGAAUCUGCCUGGUAGUGGGGGAUAACGUCCGGAAACGGGCGCUAAUACCGCAUACGUCCUGCGGGAGCAAGUGGGGGAUCUUCGGACCUCACGCUAUCAGAUGAGCCUAGGUCGGAUUAGCUAGUUGGUGGGGUAAAGGCCUACCAAGGCGACGAUCCGUAACUGGUCUGAGAGGAUGAUCAGUCACACUGGAACUGAGACACGGUCCAGACUCCUACGGGAGGCAGCAGUGGGGAAUAUUGGACAAUGGGCGAAAGCCUGAUCCAGCCAUGCCGAGUGUGUGAAGAAGGUCUUCGGAUUGUAAAGCACUUUAAGUUGGGAGGAAGGGCAGUAAGUUAAUACCUUGCUGUUUUGACGUUACCAACAGAAUAAGCACCGGCUAACUUCGUG